AUUUUCUCCCCACCGUUUUGACAUAGUGAGCUCUCUGCUUGAUCCAUUCCACCUGUCAUCCCAUCAAGCCUCCUCACGCUGCAGGUGUAUUGCACGCAUUGCUUUGGGACUUGUUUCAGCUGUGAUUGGCCCACCCGAUAUCAUGUGAUGCUUACACGUCACACAUCGGGUUAGGACAGCCUAUUUAAACGGCAUUUUGCUGCAAACUCAGUGCAGAAUGCCGCAGGGUCAUAUGUUCAGUGAGCACUCUUGUCCUUAAUGCUUUGCAGUUCCCCUCCUGGAUCAAGCAGCUGAUUUCUUCUGGCUUUAUACACACUAAGCUUAUUGUGACUUUGCAACACUGCCUGCGAUCCUUAUAUAGAUCUUAUACAGAUAUUUUGGGAAAUCUACAUGAUUCCUUCCUUGAAUUAACACUGCAGCUGGAUUGCUCAUUGAUGUCCCUGGUCUUUAACCCCAUAAACCGUUAUAUAUGUAAGUCAUUUAUGCUUUAUGGUCUCACAGUCAUUACUGCUAAACUAAGUUAACCAAUAUUUUGGUCAUUAUGUCUUAAAUACAUAUAUAUCUCACAGAUAAUAAUAUGUUAACCCCUAGCCAUCCCUAUUGCUUUGGCUAUGGUGUGUUUUUUUUUUUUUUUUCCCUCUGUCUCACUUACAUGUUAACCCUUAUAUGACUGUCCUUUUGUGACCAUUUUCAAACUUUUCCUGCUCAUUUGCAGGAUCAUGCACAUGACCAUUUUCACCUCGGCGGUUUUCUGUGUUUGUCGCUAGUUGUGGGCAACUCGUGGGUAAGAUAGUGUGGUCUUUAAACUUUGGAACCAUUUUUUACCAUUAUAUGUUGUACCUGAUUUAAGCAAUUGGAAUGUGUAUCAUAUUUUACUGGUUAAUGCUUGUAUAUAUACCUUUCAGUUGCAUAUUUUGACUGGAUAUCGCUCCCUCCCCUGAAGAAGCGGAAGUCCGCGAAACAUGUAGGGUCUAUGCGAUUUCCUUUUCCAGUUGCAUCCAUA